UUGGAAACCGGCACUAAAUGUGGGGAUGGAAAGGUGUGCAGCCAGAAUGAGUGCAUGGAGCUUCAGACAGCGUACAGAAACACAAACUGUUCAGCAGAAUGCAGCGGCAACGUUGUGUGUAAUCACAGAAGUGAGUGUCACUGUGAGCCUGGCUGGGA